CCUGGUUGAUCCUGCCAGUAGUCAUAUGCUUGUCUCAAAGAUUAAGCCAUGCAUGUCUAAGUAUGAACUAAUUCAGACUGUGAAACUGCGGAUGGCUCAUUAAAUCAGUUAUAGUUUUUUUGAUGGUACCAUACUACUCGGAUACCCGUAGUAAUUCUAGAGCUAAUACGUGCACCAAGUCCCGACUCUUUGGAAGGGAUGCAUUUUUUAGAUAAAAGGCCGGCGCGGGCUUGCCCGCUUCUCCGGUGAAUCAUGAUAACUCGAUGGAUCGCACAGCCCUUGUACUGGCGAUGCUUCAUUCAAAUUUCUUCCCUAUCAACUUUCGAUGGUAGGAUAGAGGCCUACCAUGGUGGUGACGAGAGAUGGAGAAUUAGCAUUCGAUUCCGGAGAGGGAGCCUUAGAAACGGCUACACAUCCAAGGAAGGCAGCAAGCGCGCAAAUUACCCAAUCCUCACAUGGGGAGGUAGUGACAAUAAAUAACAAUACUGGGCUCAUCGAGUCUGGUAAUUGGAAUGAGUACAAUCUAAAUCCCUUAACGAGGAUCCAUUAGAGGGAAAGUCUGGUGCCAGCAGCCACGGUAAUUCCAGCUCCAAUAGCGUAUAUUUAAGUUGCUGUAGUUAAAAAGCUCGUAGUUGGAUCUUGGGUCGUAAAGGUCGGUCCACCUACUCGGUGUGCACCUGCCCUUCCGUCCCUUUUGUUGGCAGCAUGCUCCUGACCUUAAUUGGCUGGGUCAUGGCUUCGGUGCUGUUACUUUGAAAAAAUUAGAGUGCUCAAAGCAAGCUUAUGCUCUGAAUACAUUAGCAUGGAAUAACGUGAUAGGAGGCUGGUCCUAUUGUGUUGGCCUUCGGGGCUGGAGUAAUGAUUAAUAGGGACUGAUGGGGGCAUUCGUAUUUCAUUGUCAGAGGUGAAAUUCUUGGAUUUAUGAAAGAUGGACCACUCCGAAAGCAUUUGCCAAGGAUGUUUUCAUUAAUCAAGAACGAAAGUUGGGGGCUCCACCUGGCGCCCAAAAAUUUGGGGUUUCCACCCGGCGCCCAAAAUUUGGGGUUUCCAUGGUGCGCCCAAAAUUUGGGGUUUCCACUCGGCGCCCAUAAUUUGAGGUUUCCAUGUGGCGCUCAAAAUUUGGGGUUUUCACCCGACGCCCAAAAUUUGGGGUUUCCAUGCGGCGC
rnacentral:rRNA from 1 species